rnacentral:rRNA from 1 species
AUUGAACGCUGGCGGCAGGCCUAACACAUGCAAGUCGAACGAGUGGCGGACGGGUGAGUAAUGUCUGGGAAACUGCCCGAUGGAGGGGGAUAACUACUGGAAACGGUAGCUAAUACCGCAUACCAUCGGAUGUGCCCAGAUGGGAUUAGCUUGUAGGUGAGGUAACGGCUCACCCAGGCGACGAUCCCUAGCUGGUCUGAGAGGAGGACCAGCCACACUGGAACUGAGACACGGGCCAGACUCCUACGGGAGGCAGCAGGGGGGAAUAGUGCACAAUGGGCGCAAGUCUGAUGAAGCCAUGCCGAGUGUAUGAAGAAGGACUUCGGGUUGUAAAGUACUUUCAGCGGGGAGGCGUUACCCGCAGAAGAAGCACCGGCUAACUCCGUGCCAGCAGACGCGGUAAUAC